ACACUGCUCGCAAAACGGAUGGAAGCUUGGGGUGCAUCGCUUAGGCCUAAUUGAACAGAGGAAUUAUGGUAUUCUUCAGUAGCUUGAGUAACUAUAACCGUUGUGCAUGUGAAAGCU